GGCCCAGCUUGCUGGGUACUCGAGUGGCGAACGGGUGAGUAACACGUGGGUGAUCUGCCCUGCACUCUGGGAUAAGCCUGGGAAACUGGGUCUAAUACCGGAUAUGACCAACUGUCGCAUGGUGGUUGGUGGAAAGCUUUUGCGGUGUGGGAUGGGCCCGCGGCCUAUCAGCUUGUUGGUGGGGUAAUGGCCUACCAAGGCGACGACGGGUAGCCGACCUGAGAGGGUGAUCGGCCACACUGGGACUGAGACACGGCCCAGACUCCUACGGGAGGCAGCAGUGGGGAAUAUUGCACAAUGGGCGCAAGCCUGAUGCAGCGACGCCGCGUGAGGGAUGACGGCCUUCGGGUUGUAAACCUCUUUCACCAGGGACGAAGCGUGAGUGACGGUACCUGGAGAAGAAGCACCGGCCAACUACGUGCCAGCAGCCGCGGUAAUACGUAGGGUGCGAGCGUUGUCCGGAAUUACUGGGCGUAAAGAGCUCGUAGGCGGUUUGUCGCGUCGUCUGUGAAAUUCUGCAACUCAAUUGCAGGCGUGCAGGCGAUACGGGCAGACUUGAGUACUACAGGGGAGACUGGAAUUCCUGGUGUAGCGGUGAAAUGCGCAGAUAUCAGGAGGAACACCGGUGGCGAAGGCGGGUCUCUGGGUAGUAACUGACGCUGAGGAGCGAAAGCGU
rnacentral:rRNA from 1 species